rnacentral:rRNA from 1 species
AGAGUUUGAUCCUGACUCAGAACGAACGCUGGCGGCGCGUUUUAAGCAUGCAAGUCGUACGGCUAAGGCUUCUUCGGAAGCAUAUAAAGUGGCGCACGGGUGAGUAACACGUAGGUGAUCUACCUUUUAGUUUGGGAUAGCCCUAGGAAACUAGGAUUAAUACCAAAUAAACUUGAGGGACUAAUUUCCUUAAGAAAAGCAGUAAUGUGCUAAAAGAUGAGCCUGCGGUCCAUUAGCUAGUUGGCAGGGUAAGAGCCUACCAAGGCGACGAUGGAUAGCCGGCCUGAGAGGGUGUUCGGCCACAUGGAACUGAGACACGGUCCAGACUCCUACGGGAGGCAGCAGCUAAGAAUCUUCCGCAAUAGGGGAAACCCUGACGGAGCGACGCCGCGUGGAUGAUUGAAGGCCCUUUGGGUUGUAAAGUCCUUUUAUUUAUGAUGAAAUGCUAGGCGACUAGUUUUGACAUUAGUAGAUGAAUAAGCCCCGGCUAAUUACGUGCCAGCAGCCGCGGUAAUACGUAAGGGGCGAGCGUUGUUCGGAAUCAUUGGGCGUAAAGGGCGCGUAGGCGGAACUGCAAGUUGGAUGUUAAAUAUCUCAGCUCAACUGAGAUGUGCCGUUCAAAACUGUGGUUCUAGAGUUUUGGUGAGGAAAUCGGAAUUCCUGGUGUAGGGGUGAAAUCUAUAGAUAUCAGGAAGAACACCGGUGGCGUAAGCGGAUUUCUGACCAAAAACUGACGCUGAGGCGCGAAAGCUAGGGGAGCGAACGGGAUUAGAUACCCCGGUAGUCCUAGCCGUAAACGUUGUAUACUAGGCGUUUGAGGUAUCGAUCCCUCAAGUGCCGAAGCUAACGCAUUAAGUAUACCGCCUGGGGAGUACGCACGCAAGUGUGAAACUCAAAGGAAUUGACGGGGGCCCGCACAAGCGGUGGAGCAUGUGGUUUAAUUCGACGAUACGCGAGAAACCUUACCAGGGUUUGACAUGUAUUAGACGCUAUGAGAGAUCAUGGUUCCCUUCGGGGCUGGUACACAGGUGCUGCAUGGCUGUCGUCAGCUCGUGUUGUGAGAUGUUGGGUUAAGUCCCGCAACGAGCGCAACCCUUAUGGUUUGUUGUCAUCAGGUCAAGCUGGACACUCGAACCAAACCGCCGAUACAAGUCGGAGGAAGGUGGGGAUGACGUCAAGUCCUCAUGGCCCUUAUGUCCUGGGCUACACACGUGCUACAAUGGGUGAAACAAAGAGUUGCUAAACCGAAAGGUCAUGCUAAUCUCAAAAAACCACCCUCAGUUCGGAUUGAAGUCUGAAACUCGACUUCAUGAAGCUGGAAUCGCUAGUAAUCGUGGAUCAGCACGCCACGGUGAAUACGUUCCCGGGCCUUGUACACACCGCCCGUCACACCACCCAAGUU